AGGUCUAACGCGGAUGGCUGUGAGUUGGCUUAAUCUCAGCUGGCAACUGUGAGAUGUUCAUACAAUCCCUCACAGUGGUCUCUGGGAUUACGCUAAACAGAGCAAUUUCCUUGCCCUCGCGA
rnacentral:pre_miRNA from 8 species